rnacentral:tRNA from 1 species
AGAGGUGUAGCUUAAUGGUGGAGUACUUGCCUAGCUUGUAUUAGGUCCUGGGUUCAAAUGUCAGCACUUCCC